UACGUAGGGCGCAAGCGUUGUCCGGAAUUAUUGGGCGUAAAGAGCUCGUAGGCGGUUUGUCGCGUCUGCUGUGAAAACCUGAGGCUCAACCUCGGGCUUGCAGUGGGUACGGGCAGACUAGAGUGCGGUAGGGGUGACUGGAAUUCCUGGUGGAGUGGUGAAAUGCGUAGAGAUCCGGAAGAACACCAAAGGCGAAGGCAGUGUCCUGGCUGGCACCUGACGCUCAGGGGCGAAAGCGAGGGAGCGAACGGG
rnacentral:rRNA from 1 species